rnacentral:lncRNA from 1 species
AAGUGCCUGUGGUAGCCCAACAUCCCUACUCUUGGAAUGUGUCUGUCCCACUCGACCCCGUAGGCUUCUCAAUACCGCACGAGCAAACAUAAGUCACGUAGGCUAACUCCGGAGUGCCGGCUUGUAGGGAGCGACCCUCACAAGCAUGUGCGAAUGAGCACAAAUGGCAAGUAAGCAAGGUCAAAGUCUCAAGUACUCUACUCUCAUGCCUCUCACAUGGCAAGGUCACUAGCAUCCCAAGGAUCUAGUCCAAAGUCUCAAAGUGACGCUC